GGGUCCGCAGUUCACCUAGGCGCCGCCUUUCGCUAAACCUGCGA
rfam:Ponticoccus sp. TMTAT08 contig000006, whole genome shotgun sequence.